CCGAACUGAAGUUUGUGAUUAACUGUGUAUGUGACAGACUUAUGUUCGAGAAACGUUAACUGAACAGCAGAUGCCCAUUUAAAGCAAGCUGUAGCCUACUAGAGAAAGUAAUGUUAGCCUGCAGAUAAUUUUGUGCACGCGUGAGACUUGCACUCGCAGAUCUGAUGGGCACAAUCAAACACGUCCUUUGAGAUUCUGGAAAGUUUGUGGAAAGUGGGCUGAACCUGCAUUCCUGGAUAGGACCAAAGGCGGAGUCCAUCAGAAGAAGAAAAAAGUAUCUGGACUGCUCCGAGAAAAGACACAUUCUGUCACAAAAUAAAGCAAGCUCAACAAGUCAUGGCACACAGGAGGCCACAUCCAUGACCUUGACUACCUGGGUUCAGUGUCUGGAAAAUGGAUGUAUUUGAAGGGAUCCACAGGGUGCAGCUCUCCCCCUCUCCAUCUGCGAUUGCCCCGUCUGGCCCUGGGUAUGAAGUGGUGGUGGCUGACCGUUCAGGGAUUGCUGUCUACUCUUCCCCUGUGUUUUUUGGCAAAGUGGACGAGCGAGCAUCAAAGUACAAAUCCACCACAAAGACAGCAGAAGAAAGAUGUCCUGUUGGAAGGCUAGUCGACCUGGAUACGGAUCCGGGACCCAGCGCAGGAGGGGGACAGAUUGCGGCGAUGCCUCAGGGGGAGGAGGACUCCCGUGGAGGGGAACAUUACAACGUGUCCCGUCUGCGGAGCUCAUCAAUAGAGAUAAGGGAGAAAGGGGCCGAGUUUCUUCGGGAGCAGUUGGAUGCCGCUCAGAAGGAGUUGAAACUCAAGGGAGAGGAAUGUGAACGCCUCUCUCAUGUUCGCAACCAGCUUGAGCAGGAGCUGGAAGAACUGACUGCCAGCCUUUUUGAGGAGGCCCAUAAAAUGGUGCGUGAAGCUAAUGUGAAACAGGCUACCGCUGAAAAACAACUGAAAGAGGCUCAGGGAAAGAUUGAUGUCCUGCAGGCUGAGGUAACUGCCCUGAAGACCCUGGUGCUGACCUCCACCCCCUCCUCCCCCAACCGGCAGCUGCACCCCCAGCUCCUGUCCCCGGGCACCAGAGGGGCGCUGAGGGGGCACACCCGAAACAAGAGUGCCAGCAGCAUCCUCUCCGGCUUCCACAACCAGGCUGAGGCCAGCCCCGUGGACCUACAGGCAGCCAGCAAGGAAGACAAGGAGGUGGAUUCAGUUCUGUAUGCAGAGUUCCUGUCCUGGAGAGAGGCCCCCAGUCUGGCCAGCUCCUCUGCGUUCAUGAGCCGGGUUUAUAGAGAGGACAUCGGGCCUUGCCUGUCCUUCAAUCGCUCGGAGUUAUCUCAGUCAGUGCAGAGUGCGGUGGAGAGCAACUCUCUGACCAUUGAGCCUGUGGCCAUGAGUGCCUUGCCUCUGGUGAAGGCCUCGGCCAUUGAGUGUGGGGGACCCAAGUAGCUGUUGAGGGUCUCACCUCUCCUUCCCAAAGACUCAACAAGCUGUGGUUGUAUGUUGUCAAUUUGUGGAAAAUGUCGUCUUGCUAGUACAACAACAUAGCAGUACUGUCACAGUAACCUUUUGUAGUAUCUUGCUGUAGUCCUUCCUACACAAUGAGUUGCAUCCCACUGCCAGUUUAGUGCAUGCUUGCAUUAGACAUAGUCCAAAUGCUAAUUGAUAGUAAACAAAAUUCUCUCUUGUUUCUGAAGAAAAUCAAAUCAAGUAUUGCCCUGUAGAAAUACAAAUCCCAAGGUCUUUGCUGGUGUUUGGCUCAAGUCUUUCAAACGUAUGUUCUUUAGCUAUGCUCCUUUCCCAUUGCUAGUAGUCUGUUUCAUAGGCCGUAUAACCAGGAUUCCUCUGUGGUCAUGGAAACUGUACAUACUGUGUACUAUACAUAGUGUUUACCUUUAAGGGAAAGUAAUGAUUCAAAUAGAUACAUUUUAAUUAUCACUUGUAAUGAAAAGUUGCAAAAUAUUACUUUGAGAGAUUUUUUUGGAGUUUAACUUGGUAACUAGUUAAAAUGACCCGGAAGAAGAAGCCUGUGUUAUGGCAGAGGAUCCAAGCAUUUUUCAUUUGAAUCAUUAGAAAUCACUGCUCCACAUCACGCUUUUUAAUCUCCGUUCGAUUUGAAAUUGUUUCUUUCAGUGGCUGGAGAGGUGCUGUAGAGACGAAGUGCGCCUUGAGUGGCAUGUCCCGGCCCUGUCGCCAUCGCAUCAAACUGGGAGACAAAGAGAGCUACUAC